AUUGAACGCUGGCGGCAGGCUUAACACAUGCAAGUCGAGCGGAGAUGAGGUGCUUGCACCUUAUCUUAGCGGCGGACGGGUGAGUAAUGCUUAGGAAUCUGCCUAUUAGUGGGGGACAACAUUCCGAAAGGAAUGCUAAUACCGCAUACGUCCUACGGGAGAAAGCAGGGGAUCUUCGGACCUUGCGCUAAUAGAUGAGCCUAAGUCGGAUGAGCUAGUUGGUGGGGUAAAGGCCUACCAAGGCGACGAUCUGUAGCGGGUCUGAGAGGAUGAUCCGCCACACUGGGACUGAGACACGGCCCAGACUCCUACGGGAGGCAGCAGUGGGGAAUAUUGGACAAUGGGGGAACCCUGAUCCAGCCAUGCCGCGUGUGUGAAGAAGGCCUUAUGGUUGUAAAGCACUUUAAGCGAGGAGGAGGCUACUGAGACUAAUACUCUUGGAUAGUGGACGUUACUCGCAGAAUAAGCACCGGCUAACUCUGUGCCAGCCGCCGCCGUAAGAC
rnacentral:rRNA from 1 species